AGUUAAGCUUCUUAGCGCCGAUGGUAGUGAAGGGUUUCCCUUUGUGAGAGUAGGACGCUGCCGCGC
rnacentral:rRNA from 1 species